GGCCGGCCCGGGGGCGGGGCCUGGGCUACGCGAAGCGGGGCGGGGGCGGGGCCGAGGUUUGGGGGCGUGGUCGAGCGCAGGGGGCGGGGCCUAGACGUAAGAGUAGCGGGGCCGGAGCGCCGGGGCGGGGCCCAGAGUGGGGCGGGGCCUGGACAUGGAAUCGCGGCCGAGGGGCGCGGAGCAGGAGCACGGGGGCGGGGCCAUACAGAGGCCCUCGGGCAGGGCUCAGAAUGGGGCGGGGAUUGGGCGAGCGGAAAGCGGCGCCGAGGCGCGGGGGCGGGGCCUCGACUGCGGCGGGGGCGGGGCCGAGCACGGGCACCCCCUUUCCGCCCCCGAGCGCUCGCCAGGAUCGGAGCAUGCCCAGUGCAGGGACGCCGGGCCGCCCCCUCUCUGCGCAGUCUCGCUGGCUGUCCUGCGCCGGCAGGCCGGGGUCCUCCUGCCCUGCUUGUGCGCCCCGCUUCUUCCUCGCGGUUCAGGCUCCGCGCUGCUGCCACUGCAGGCCCUUCCGCCAGCACCUUCCCCACCUCCGCUUCCGCCUCUCAGGACUCCGUCUGAAAAUGGCGACUCUAUGGUGCACGGGGAGGAUUUUCCCUGGCACUGCUCUCCUCCGUCGCUCCACAGCCGAUGACUCCAGCGCAGAUUAAAAGCUGCCAUUUAAGGGAGAGAAUUCGUUGGGACGACGUCGCCAAGCCACUGACAAUGUCACAGAAACAUACUUUCCACAUCUGGGUCCUGUGUUUUGACUUCAUCUAAUUCUUAAACUGGACAAGCUUAUUAAUACGAAGACUGUGGCUCUUUCUGAAUGCAGAAUCAGAAACCACUCCUUUUAAAAAAACCUGUGGACAAUCUUUCCAACCAUAAAAUCACUUCCAUUCUCCAACCAACAAGUUUUCAAAUGGAUUUUGUAAAUGUGCAAGAACUCAAAGCAAAUCUAUUAAAAAAAAAAAAGAGAUGUCAGGCUGAAAAUAAGGAAAAUCAGAGUGGGAGAAGAGAAUGCAGCCUGUGUGUGCCCCCCUGGCCUUCACAGCACCCUGUUCUUGUGAUGAACCAGCACUCCUCCCCAUAAACUCUAAGUCAUUCUCACCUUCCCAGGAGUUUGUAAGUCAGACAACUGUUAAGGGGACCAACUCAUAAUAUUACUGCAAAAUUUCACAGUUGAAAGUCAAAUAGCAAUGAUUUUGCUCUGCCAGCCUGACACCACCUUGACCAUGUGGAUUAAAGUCCCUGGGCAGCGAGCAUGAGCAUAUAAAGCGUGGCCAGUGAUGUUGGUGCAAGCAGCUCUGCAGUUUAAAAUGUGCCAGAACGUGGUCAUUGAGGGCAUCCAUGUACUUUUUCUUGAUCAAAAUUCUAUACAUUGUGAUAAGUGGAGAAUUCGUGCCAACAACAACAACAACACAAAACCCCCACCAAUUAUGCUGUGUGUCUGGGUUCCCCAGAGAAACAGAAGGUAUAUAUAGCAGGAAUUGCUCAUGUGAUUAUGGAAACUGAGAAGUCCCAGGAUCUGCAGUUGGCAAGCUGGAGACCCAGGAGAUUCAAGGGUGUAAGUUCCAGCCUGAGUCUGAGUCCUAAGGCAGGAGAAGACCAGUGUCCCAGCUCACAGAGUCAAGCAGAGAGAACUCCCCCUUCCUCGGCCUUUUGUUCUAGCCAGGCCUUCAAUGGAUUGGAUGAGGCCCACUCACACUGGGGAGGGCACCCCGCUUUCCUCAGUGCGCUGAUUCAAAUGUUAGCAUCAUCCAGAAACACCCUCCUAGACACACCCAGAAUCAUGCUUAACCAAAUAUCUGGGCACCUUGUGGGCCAGUCAAGUUGAUAUAUGACAUUAACCAUCACAUACUGGUGUUUAAAGGCAUUAAGGAUCAUUUCACAAAUGUGUUGGCUAUUUUCACGCACUCCUCCACCAUCUAUGACAGACCUCACAACCAGAGACCCUCUGUGGAACCUCAGUUCUUGGCCUAUUUCUUAAAGAUGUCCUCAUGUGUGUAUAGAUGCUGGAUGCUGCAAGUAUAUUCACUGACACUCCCUGAUGAGACCUAAGGAAGGCCUUCAUUUUCCUUGCAUCUAUAUAGUCUUAAAAUAAGAGCUACCAUUUGGAUAUUGAAAUGUGUAGAGAAUUAAACCUCUUAAGAAAUACUCACUGUGCUUCUUAUUGUUUCUGAGGGGGAACUCUACAUCUACUGACCAGCACUCUUGUUCUCUUCUCCCUGGUCCUUCUGUUCUUCCUUCCUCCCUUUCUUCUGCAAGUUGAGCACCCACCGUGGGCACAGUAAUGUGAAAGCAGACUCGAGCUGCAAGAAAGGAGAAGACAUUCCCUUGUUCAUCAUCUGGCUCCUUCGUUCCUUCAUUCAUCAUUCGUUUUGAAAAAAAAAUCGUCUCUCAUUUGGCUGGCAAGGAGGUGAUAACAGAUCUGAAACGUAUUAAGGUGGCACAGAGAAUGAAGUUUGGACACGUGGUGAAAUAACAAGUGAGCGGGGUAGAGGAGGAAAGACUUGCUAGGUGUGCAAAGUCUGUUGACUGAGGAGGAAGUCGGGGGUGCAACGGACUUGGCACUGGUCGGGCAGGACCAACCCCCAAGCCACACAUUCUCAUUGAAGUCCCUCAAGUCUGACACCUUUCAGGCCCCGGGAGCCCCUCAGUGUCAGUCCUAGUCGUGGUCUGAGUGCCAUGGAGGUCUGUGGUGCAGCCACAGCCAGGGUUGGAGACAGACACCGCUUCUGAGUGUGGGGAGGAGCUGAGCAGCGAAGAGCUUCAGUGAGAGCAAAGACAAAUGGAUUAACUUGUCAAAUCCCUCUUUUCAGCGAGAAUGUAAUAGAUUCAUGUGAAAUGAAGUAUCAGUGCCUGGUAGUGCCUAGUGUCCACUUGUUUACUCACCUUCCUAUUCCGAUUUGUGACUCCAGAGGCACCUACAGACGAGCGUGGCCUUCACAACAGCGGGACGUGGCUGCUGAGGAGCCCCGUGUGCAAUAUUAAGCGAUUCAGUCUCAAAUUUGCAUACGUGUAAGUCCAAACACGGGGGCAACUGGAUGAACGAUGCCCAGGGGAAUCACAAAUCGUUUCAUUUUUUUUAUCAGAAUAUUUCAUGUUUUAAUUAAACUUUAAAAAAUUUAAAUAAAAAUUUCAGCUAUAAUUUUAAUUUAAUAAUU
rnacentral:lncRNA from 1 species